UGAGUAGAGUGGCGCACGGGUGCGUAACACGUAGAUAACCUGCCCUUCGAAGGGGGAUAACGUUCCGAAAGGAGCGCUAAUACCGCAUACAGCAUUCUGUGGUUCGCCAUGGGAUGGCAAAGGCUGGGACCCGCAAGGGCCAGUCGUCGAAGGAGGGGUCUGCGGCCCAUCAGCUAGUUGGUGAGGUAAUGGCUCACCAAGGCAAAGACGGGUAGCUGGUCUGAGAGGAUGAUCAGCCACACUGGUACUGGAACACGGACCAGACUCCUACGGGAGGCAGCAGUGGGGAAUCUUGGUCAAUGGGCGCAAGCCUGAACCAGCGACGCCGCGUGAGUGAUGAAGGCCUUCGGGUUGUAAAGCUCUGUGGGGAGGGACGAAAGACUGGAGUCGAAUAGGCUACCAGGUUGACGGUACCUCCUUAGCAAGCACCGGCUAACUCUGUGCCAGCAGCCGCGGUAA
rnacentral:rRNA from 1 species